rnacentral:snoRNA from 1 species
GUCGACAAUACUUCAGAGAAUCAUUUCUAUAGUAUUCGACCUACUCUUGGUUCCCUAAAGGAGCUACAGAUCCCACCCUGGUUGAUGAUUGAUAUCCUCGACACCCUAGAGUGAAGAACUCUGGUUGCUCUCGCACCCUCCGCAAGGAGGGCGGCUUUAGACUUGUCUUUUGCUGUAUAGAGAGCGGUGAUGAUCUCGUCCCCGAUUGUGGUCUUGCCCUUGGGCGCAUGGUCGGGGUGGGUGUCGAUGGACGUCUGACAGGC